UGUUCAGUCGCUCAGUUGGUCAAGCGCUCGUCUAGCAUACAAGAGCCAUGGGUUCGAAUCCCAGCCGAGCAC
rnacentral:tRNA from 1 species